CAGAUAAGAGUGCAGUGGUGCAGUCAUGGCUCACUGCAGCGUCUGCCUCCUGGACUCAAAGAAUCCUCCUACCUCAGCCUCCCAAGUAGCUAGGACCACAGGUAUGUACCACCACACCCAGUUAUUAUUAUUAUUUUUUUUCACAGAGACAGGAUCUCACUAUGUUGCCCAGGCUGGUCUCCAACUCCUAGGCUCAAGCGAUCUACCUGCCUCAACCUCCCAAAGUGCUGGGAUUACAGGCAUGUGCCACUGGGCCUAGCCUGGCAUUACUCUUACAAAGGAUACACCACGGUAAGGUUAUAAAAAACAUUUCUAUGAAUUUGUGAAUUUUGUUCCUAGUAGUUUUAUACUUUGCUUCUUUUUUUGAGACAGAGUCUCGCUCUGUCACCCAGGCUGCAGUGCAGUGGUGCAAUCUCAGCUCACUGCAACCUCCACCUCCCAAGUUCAAGUGAUUCUCAUUCCUCAGCCUCCUGAGUAGUAGCUGGGAUUACAGGUGUGUGCCACCAUGCCCGGCUAAUUUUUGUAUGUUUAGUAGAGAUGGGGUUUUGCCUUGUUUGCCAGGCUGGUCUCGAACUCCUGGCCUCAAGAAAUCCACCCACCUUGGCCUCCCAAGGUGCUGGGAUUACAUACAUGAGCCACCGUGCCCGACUAUACUUUGCUUUUUUAUUAAAGUUGUGCUCUCCUGCAGCGUUUUGCGGACGGCUGGCUAUCUUACCCAGAAUCAAUCACACUGGGACACUGAAAAAAAAAAAAAAGGAAAUCCUGACCUCAGGUGAUCUGCCCACCACGGCCUCCCAAAGUGCUGAGAUUACAGGCAUAAGCCACUGCUCUGGGCCUCUGAUUUUUAUACCUCUGUAAUGCCCUCUUGAAUCCCUUCUCCUCUUUCUAUUUUCGUUGUGACUAGUCCUCUGGCCGCUCACCUGGAAAGGCAGAGGAGAGGGUUGUAACUCUGGGAGUUGAAUUAUAACUAAUCUUCUAAUGAUGGUGUUUAACAAAAGCCAUGUUAAAGGCAAAGUGCUUCUGUUUCGAAAAAUACUCUCAAACCCAGUUUUCUCUUGGCCCUCACACCACCUCAGCAGCAAUCAACAACAAAGAAGAAGACUUCUUUGCCUAAAUAUGCGGGGAAUUUCCCGACUCACAUAGCAGCAGACACCAGCUGGAUGUCCUCCAAUUCAGUUCCGAAAAUAAAAAGUUUAAAAAGCAAACAAAAAACCCCAAAUAGAGUUGUAUCAACGAGGUUUUGCUUGUGAUUUGAUUUUGUGGCCGUAAUUGUCCUGUUCUCUUUCAACACAAUAACCCUAACCCUCUCCCUGUUUCUUUCAGAAAGAGCGAGGGAGUAAUUCUAGCCUGUUUUUACAAGAACACAGUGGCUAUAGACAGUGCCAGUGUGAAGAUGACUCAGCAAACGUGGAGAACCAAAGAUUCUAGGGCAGCACCAAAACUGGGAAAGCAAUUACAGCAGAAGUUGCCUUCCCCAUGGUAGCUUAGCAACUUCGUGUCUCUCCAAGGCAGAGAGGAAAAUCAAGUCUAACAGGCCUUCCCGAAGGCUAGGUGUGAAAUACCAGAAGCCAUCUUUGUUUCUGGCGAUGUCACUAAAUAAGUAUUUGUUGAUAUAAAGUAUUACACAUCUGUUCUCCCACAUUUCAGCUAAAUUGCCAAAAGUUAACCCUUUCUGGAGAUCCAGAAUGGAGCAAUAUACCUAGCUCUCAUUCAUUAUUUCCCUUGCUGAUAUUCUUGCAUAGCUUUUAGUUUAUGCAUUUGUCCCAAAUAAACCUAGAAAAAGCCACUUGUCGUAGGACAAGAUGAGCUGAUGAUUUGAAUCACUCCCCCACUGAGGAAGAAACCAUCUGUGGAAAAGACUGUAUAAGGUACUUCCUGGUUGAACGGUAGGGCUCUGGAGUCAGAAGUCUUGAAUUUGAAUCCCAGCCCUGAAAUGUAUCAGCUGUGUGCCCUUAG
rnacentral:lncRNA from 10 species